GAUGAACGCCGGUGGCGUGCCUAAUACAUGCAAGUCGAGCGAACAGACGAGGAGCUUGCUCCUCUGACGUUAGCGGCGGACGGGUGAGUAACACGUGGAUAACCUACCUAUAAGACUGGGAUAACUUCGGGAAACCGGAGCUAAUACCGGAUAAUAUAUUGAACCGCAUGGUUCAAUAGUGAAAGACGGUUUUGCUGUCACUUAUAGAUGGAUCCGCGCCGCAUUAGCUAGUUGGUAAGGUAACGGCUUACCAAGGCAACGAUGCGUAGCCGACCUGAGAGGGUGAUCGGCCACACUGGAACUGAGACACGGUCCAGACUCCUACGGGAGGCAGCAGUAGGGAAUCUUCCGCAAUGGGCGAAAGCCUGACGGAGCAACGCCGCGUGAAUGAUGAAGGUCUUCGGAUCGUAAAACUCUGUUAUUAGGGAAGAACAAAUGUGUAAGUAACUAUGCACGUCUUGACGGUACCUAAUCAGAAAGCCACGGCUAACUACGUG
rnacentral:rRNA from 1 species